rnacentral:rRNA from 1 species
UUUUGGAAAGUUAAUAAGUCGUAACAAGGUCUCCGUUGGUGAACCAGCGGAGGGAUCAUUACCAAGAGUGCCUUCAGGCUCUCCAACCCACUGUGAACAUACAUAAGUUCCCUCGGCGGGCUCAGCGCGCGGCGGUCCUCCCGGGCCCCGCGCGUCCGCCGGGGGCCAGCAAACUCGAAUUUACUACGUGUAUCUCUGAGGGGCGAAAGCCCGUAAAACAAAAAUGAAUCAAAACUUUCAACAACGGAUCUCUUGGCUCUGGCAUCGAUGAAGAACGCAGCGAAAUGCGAUAAGUAAUGUGAAUUGCAGAAUUCAGUGAAUCAUCGAAUCUUUGAACGCACAUUGCGCCCGCCAGCACUCUGGCGGGCAUGCCUGUCCGAGCGUCAUUUCAACCCUCAGGCCCCCCGUCCGCGGGGAAACCGGCCUGGCGUCGAGGGCUCAGCGGCCUUCACCGGCCCCUGUCCCCGAAAUACAGUGGCGGUCGCGCCGCAGCCUCCCCUGCGUAGUAGCACACCUCGCACCGGAGAGCGGCACGGCCACGCCGUAAAACCCCCCAGUUUUACCAAGGUUGACCUCGGAUCAGAGAAUCCAG